rnacentral:rRNA from 1 species
AUUGAACGCUGGCGGCAGGCCUAACACAUGCAAGUCGAGCGGAUGAAGGGAGCUUGCUCCUGGAUUCAGCGGCGGACGGGUGAGUAAUGCCUAGGAAUCUGCCUGGUAGUGGGGGAUAACGUCCGGAAACGGGCGCUAAUACCGCAUACGUCCUGAGGGAGAAAGUGGGGGAUCUUCGGACCUCACGCUAUCAGAUGAGCCUAGGUCGGAUUAGCUAGUUGGUGGGGUAAAGGCCUACCAAGGCGACGAUCCGGAACUGGUCUGAGAGGAUGAUCAGUCACACUGGAACUGGGACACGGUCCAGACUCCUACGGGAGGCAGCAGUGGGGAAUAUUGGACAAUGGGCGAAAGCCUGAUCCAGCCAUGCCGCGUGUGUGAAGAAGGUCUUCCGAUUGUAAAGCACUUUAAGUUGGGAGGAAGGGCAGUAAGUUAAUACCUUGCUGUUUUGACGUUACCUACAGAAUAAGCACCGGCUAACUUCGUG